CAUGCAAGUCGAGCGGAAACGAGAAUAGCUUGCUAUUCGGCGUCGAGCGGCGGACGGGUGAGUAAUGCUUGGGAACAUGCCUUGAGGUGGGGGACAACAGUUGGAAACGACUGCUAAUACCGCAUAAUGUCUUCGGACCAAAGGAGGGGAUCUUCGGACCUUUCGCCUUUAGAGUGGCCCAAGUGAGAUUAGCUAGUUGGUGGGGUAAAGGCUCACCAAGGCGACGAUCUCUAGCUGGUUUGAGAGGAUGAUCAGCCACACUGGGACUGAGACACGGCCCAGACUCCUACGGGAGGCAGCAGUGGGGAAUAUUGCACAAUGGGGGAAACCCUGAUGCAGCCAUGCCGCGUGUGUGAAGAAGGCCCUCGGGUUGUAAAGCACUUUCAGUCGUGAGGAAAGGUUUGUAGCUAAUAUCUGCAAGCUGUGACGUUAGCGACAGAAGAAGCACCGGCUAACUCCGUGCCAGCAGCCGCGGUAAUACGGAGGGUGCGAGCGUUAAUCGGAAUUACUGGGCGUAAAGCGUGCGUAGGCGGUUUCUUAAGCGAGAUGUGAAAUCCCGGGGCUCAACCUCGGAACUGCAUUUGGAACUGGGUGACUAGA
rnacentral:rRNA from 1 species